rnacentral:rRNA from 1 species
CUCAAAGAAAUUGACGGAAAGCCGCACAAGCGGAGGAGCAUGUGGUUUAAUUCGAUGAUACGCGAGGAACCUUACCCGGGCUUGAGAGUUAGUGAAGAGUGCAGAGACGCACUCGUCCUUCGGGACACGAAACUAGGUGCUGCAUGGCUGUCGUCAGCUCGUGCCGUGAGGUGUAGGGUUAAGUCCCGCAACGAGCGCAACCCCUAUGUUUAGUUGCCAGCAUUUAAGGUGGGGACUCUAAACAGACUGCCUGUGCAAACAGAGAGGAAGGUGGGGACGACGUCAAGUCAUCAUGGCCCUUACGUCCGGGGCUACACACGUGCUACAAUGGAUGGUACAGCGGGCAGCUACAUAGCAAUAUGAUGCUAAUCUCUAAAAGCCAUUCACAGUUCGGAUUGGGGUCUGCAACUCGACCCCAUGAAGUUGGAUUCGCUAGUAAUCGCGUAUCAGCAAUGACGCGGUGAAUACGUUCCCGGCUCUUGUACACACCGCCCG